rnacentral:rRNA from 1 species
GACGAACCGUGCGAACGUUAUUCGGAAUCACUGGGCUUAAAGCGCGUGUAGGCGGGAGGGCACGUCCGUCGCUGAAAUCCCCCGGCUCAACCGGGGAACGGGCGCGGAUACGACCUUCCUGGAGGGGCGUAGGGGGACCUGGAACUUCCGGUGGAGCGGUGAAAUGCGUUGAGAUCGGAAGGAACGCCCGUGGCGAAAGCGAGGUCCUGGACGCCUACUGACGCUGAGACGCGAAAAGCCAGGGGAGCGAACGGG